AAUAGCGAUAUGAAUUUUGUUUACCCGUGACGUCACGGCCAACAUGGCUGACGAAGGAGGGUACCCGCGAAUCCAAAAUGGAUUUAUUCAGCAAUGCUGAAUGUGAACUGGGACUGUUGGCCUGACCCUGACCCAUACGAGUUCACCAUGAGCGGAACAGACACACCCACAAUAGGCUCCGAGAUGGGGCGACACAAAGCCCGACAGUGCGCCUGCUG